rnacentral:rRNA from 1 species
CGCGAAUGGCUCAUUACAACAGCUAUAAUUCACUUGAUCUUGACACAAUCCUACUUGGAUAACUGUGGUAAUUCUAGAGCUAAUACAUGCAUUAAAGCUCUGACCUCACGGAAAGAGUGCAUUUAUUAGAACAAAACCAAGCGGCUUCGGCUGUUUUCGGUUGACUCAUAGUAACUGAGCUGAUCGCAUGGUCUUGCACCGGCGACGUGUCUUUCAAGUAUCUGCCGUAUCAACUUUCGAUGGUAGUGUAUCUGACUACCAUGGUGAUCACGCGUAACGGAGAAUAAGGGUUCGACUCCGGAGAGUUCGCCUGAGAAAUCGCGAACACAUCUAAGGAAGGCAGCAGGCGCGAAAAUUACCCACUCUCAGCACGAGGAGGUAGUGACGAAUAAUAACGAGACCGUUCUCUUUCGAGGCCGGUCAUCGGAAUGGGUACAAUUUAAACCCUUUAACGAGUAUCUAUGAGAGGGCAAGUCUGGUGCCAGCAGCCGCGGUAAUUCCAGCU